UGGAAUGCUAAAAUGUUUGGGAAACAAUAUUGAUUAGGAAAUACCUAAUCAACUGGUUUUCAACUUUUUAAGAUAAGAUGAGUGAGGAAUUCAGCAGUCUUCAAGAAUAAGAAUAGUGUAUGAGUAAUAGUAGAUGCUUGUGUUUUCCCAGGCCAGGGCAAAAUGGAACACAUUCAAAUCACAAAAAACAAAGAUUUAAGUUUAGAUACAAGAAUGGUUUUAUAUUUGAGUGAUGGACAAGACUACUUUCCAAAGGAUAGUGUCAUUUCUGGACUACUGAAAAGAAAAAGGCUUAUCUUUCUGCUGUAGUUUUGAGGGAAGAAAAUUGGCAUACAUAGCUACCAAAAGAGUUCUGGUUCCCAGUAAGCAAGACUAUGAGUAUUUUCCAGAAGAACACAGGCGCAGGGUGAUAGAAUAUAAGAAGUUCCACGAAAGCUUGGAGCUAAGUUUUAACCAGAGGAAUGUAACAAUAAAAAAGAUAAUUCUGUCUGCUGAGACUGAGCUGGAAAGAUCUAGACUGGAGGUGGGAGACCAGUCUGUGACUUCAGGCCUUGACUAAGGCAGUGGCAAUCGGGAUACACAACAAUGAAUGGAAUGAAAAGCAUCAAGGAGGCAGAAUCAGCAGGACCUUAUGAGUGAUUUGAUUUGGUGGGAAAGAGAAGGAAAAGGUAAGGAGGACGGACAGGCUUGAGGAAUUACAUAAGUGGUUGGCACCAUUUGCUGAGACAGGGAUGCUGGAGGGAGAAGCUUGUGUUGAGGCUGGAAAUGAGUUAAAUUUGGGGCAGAGAUUUCUAAGUCACAGGCUUAAAGUAAUAAUUGGAACAGUCUGGGUAAAUGAGAUCACACAGGCAGGGUAUAGAAGAGAGAACAUAUGGAUGUAAAAAUAAAAAUAAUUGCUGUUAUUAUCAUCAUAAGAUGUUUAUGGAGAAAUUGUAAAAACAUUUAACAAAACCUUUUAAGAUCAAAAGCUUAAUAAACUGCUUUGAAGAAAACUAGACCUCCACUUACGUCAAGUUAUAGAAUGAACUUAUUUUCCCACUUUACCAAGGAACAUUUCAAAGGGGGAAAGUCCUGCUCCUUUGAUACUUAGUUAUAGGGAAAGGAUCUAACAUUUAUUAUGGUCCAUUAAUGUGUCUGGUACGUUAUAUCUUAAUUAAUCCUCAAAUAUACCAUAUGAAGAUAGAUUAUCCCUGUUGUUGAAACUGAGGCCCUGAUAUCUAACUUGUUAAGGUCACAUAGCUAGUAUAUGGGCUAGCAGGGCUGUCUGAUGCAGAAACACUGGUUCUUUGCACCUUCAUUCUCUGCCUGACUUCUCAGCUGACCACAGAGGCUACUUCUAGCAAUUACUCCAAAGCAGGGGUAGGCAAUUUAAGGACACAGUCCAUGGCAGUAUUACAGAUAGUGGCAGAAUAUGACAUCAACUAGCAGAUUGUGCAGGUUCUCAGAGGGAAAGCAAAUUUGGGCAAGGAAGCUCAGCCAUGAUACUAUGCAAGUGAAAACAAAAAACUAAGCGCAAUCAUAUUUAUUCUACAAAUAUUACUGUGUGCCUCCAUUGUGUCAUUGUUCUAAGUGCUGAAGAUAUGGUAUUGAAUAAACACAAAAAAUCUCCUGCUUUUAUAAAGAACUGAUAUGCUUUGGGGGAGACAAUAAGUUAUACAGUGUAUUGCAAGAUAAUGCUCUGGAGAAACGGGAGUAGAAAGUGCUAGGAUGCUUAAGCAGUGGUCGGCAAAAGACUCACAGAGUGGGUAAAAUUUCAGCAGUCUUGAAGGAGGUAAGGGAACAAGCCAUGGAUAAGAAGGGGAAAACUUCCAGGCAGUGGGCAUAGCAAGUGCAGAGGCCCUUAGGCAGGGUAUACCUGGCAUGGUUGAGGAGAUGCUAGGAGGCCAGUGUGGCUGGAACACAGAAGGCUUUAUAAGCUACUAAUGAGGACUUAAAUUUCUACUCUGAACUCAGAGUUGAGAGGGGAGGGACACGCAAGUAUUAAGAUAUAUGUUCUACACUUAAGGAGAGGGAGAGACAAAACAAGACACAUGAAAUAGUAACAAACAUAAAACAACUGAUAAUUAGGUGAGAAACUCAGACCAAGGACUACACCCAUUUAUGAGAAGAAGGUCUGUGAGAGUGAAAAUGAAUGGGAAGUAUGUCCUAUUGGGGGUUACUUUAUGGUGGAGAGGUAGGAUCUAAAGGUAGGGUAAGAUUUAAAUUCAGAAAAGAGGGGAGGGCAUUCAUUCGAUACAUAUUUAAUAUCCCCUCCUGUGUACCAGGUGUUGUGCUGGAUGCUACUGGGGGAUAAUAGGGGACACUACAGAAAAAAACAACAGAGAAGGUUUCUGCCCUCAUGAAGGUGGCACUAAGCAGAGUACAUGGUACAGAUAAAGUACAGACUAUACAUUGGGAAACCUCGCAAACAGGACAAGAAGUGGACCUGAGGCACUCUGAGGAUGGCAGACCCCUUAGAUACCAUCUAGUUCAGUGGUUCUGAGGCUAAAAAUCACUUAAAGGAUUAUGAUUAAGUAAAUCUAGGGAAGGACCCAGCUAUGUACAGGUUUUUUUAAGAAAAGCUCCUCAGAUGACUGUGAUGGUCACCCAAGUUUGGG